CCCAAACUACGGUUGUCGUGUUCUCCUCAGGGACUAGGUAAGUCAACGAUCGUGCUCGGAUAAAGCUAGGUAACACAAUUCAGCUUAUGAAUGCAGAAAUAAAACCUAAACUAUCAAUGAUUGUAGCCAAAGAAAAUGAAAAGAAGCAAAGGGAGGUUCAGAUUUUACUCAAUAUCUUUUUGGUAUUUUCACUAACUUGAGAAUCUAAAACACUAACACAAACAAGAAUCAAUAUUAGGGAAACCUGCUAGACAAGAACACAUAUAACUAUCAUACAUGAACAAAAUAUAUAUGACAUAUAUAGCUAGUACUCAUACAUUUUAAAUGAGAGUCACAAUGUAACAAUACAACUCUCACAACACAAACACUCACACAUAUAUAACUAGCAAUGACAGAAGGAAAGAAACGAGCUAAUAUGAUAGGGACAAAAAUAUAUCACAACACAAACAUAUAUGUUUUCACAUGAACAAAGUUAACAAAAACACUACAGAACACACAUCACAUAUGCAAACAGGGGGAGGUUACAAGACAUAAUUCUAGUACUCUGAGAUGAACAACACAAGUACUAUCAAUCAAGGACAAGUCUGAAACUGAACAAGUGUCAAGCACUACUCAAAUCUGAACAUUACAAAGCAUUACACAUCUCAGCUUACAGAAAAUUCAGAGAAAGAUAAUGAGGGAAACAGCAGUAGUAGGGGUUCAGAAAAGUACAGCAACGAGGUUAGGAGAAGAGGGGAAUUAGGGAGAAGGUGCAGCAGCAGUUUUGGGGUGAAGAAAGCAGCAGAGACGUGGGAAAGAAGAGGAACAACAGCAGCGUGGGGGGCUUAGAGAAUAGCAGCAGCAGAGAUUGAGAGAGCAGCAGCAGGGACGAGGGAAGAGCAAAAGCAAGAGGUUGGGAGAGAAGGAGCAGCAGCGGCUUGGAUUGGGAAGGAAGGGCAUUAGCAAGGAGGGUUCAGAUCGUAGCAGCAGCAAGGGGGUGCAAGGAGAAGGAGCAGCAGGGGCGUUGAGAGAAAAAGAACAGCAGCAGGUUCUUCAGGAAGAAGAAGAAGAAAAAUAAGAGCAGCGAGGUGGAUGGAGUGGCGCGGCGGCGGCGAAGAAUGAUGGACGAUGCUGCUGGCUGGCUGGGAGGAUGUCGCUAGUGGAGAUGGACGGAGAUGGUGGUGACUUGCGACUCUGAUGGAUGGGAGAUGGAGGAGCUGCGGAGGCGCACCGCCACGCCGGCCUGGCUGUGGCAACGGCCGGAGGAGGAGAAGGAGGGAUGAGGGAGAUGGAGGUGUAGCCAGGCCCGAUCGGAUCCCUCCAGCGCCUAGGGAUUUUGUUCCCCUCCUCUCAUCUGCACUUUGUGAUUUGGCCCUCUUUCUUCUCUUCUUUCUUCACAAGAAGGUCCUCCCACUUCUUUAUCUAGCCCCCUGGUUACUUCUCUUCAUCUCACACAAGUCUCUUCUUCCUUCUCUUCUCUUCUUCACUCUUCUCGAUAGCCACAUAGACGGAAUCUUGACGAUUAUUAGUGCCUUUGCGCACAUUUCUGCAAGAUAGACCAAAGACUAGUAAAUGAUCCUUUUUGAUUAUUAUCAUGCAAUAUUCAAUCAAUCAUGGCAAGAAUGGACAAAUAUGUCAGGGUAGAUGCUAUAUUUGAGUACCAAAAUUAUAUAUGUGAAAUAUACUUAUCAAGUUCCCCCACACUUAAAUCUUUGCUUGUCCUCAAGCAAAGGCAUAUGACAAGAGCAAGAGUGUGGACAGUGAACUGAGUAAAGAAUGUCCAAGUGAAGUAGAUCUCUAAACAAUGCAUGCUUUUGGACUUAGCUAGUGAAAAUUGAUGGUUAAGAGUGCUACAAAGCAGUAGGAUACUAGUAAGCAUGACCAUUUUAAACUUUUACAAUGAUAAAAGAGGAUCAACAAGUUUAAAUGAUGACCGCGCCAAAUGGUUCCUAAAGAGAGCAUGAUCCAAAAACAUAAAAAGAACUUAAACUUGUGAUCAGAUCACUUAUUACCAGGAACAUUGUGGUUGAACCACUUACUGAAUUUGAAGGAAGCAAUGAUAAUAUUUUAUUGAUCUUACCAAAGGAACAUACCACUGAUCCCGAGAACAUGGUAUACACCUGGCUCGACCAAUUAUUAGUUUUUUUGUUUGUCUCCCCAAAGGAACAUACCACCGAUCCCGAGAACAUGGUAUACACCUGGUUCGACAAUUACAUUUUUAUAAUAUAAUUUACUCCUAUCCGAUCCAACCAGAUUUCACAAGCCACCGAUCCAGGGAACAUGACAUGCUACUGUUAGGUAGAUCAGAUAAUUAUUCAUUAUAAGAUAAUACUUUUUUUAAAUGAACAACACAUAAGCACAAAAAAAGGAAUCAUCACUUCUCCAUGUCUGGUUCACAUGCUACCGAUCCAGGGAACAUAGCAUGCUAAUCCAUAGUGGUUAGGUGAGUGCUCUCAAAGGGAACACACUUGGCACAAAUUCAGCAUCUAAACAUGGUGAUCUAGGUGUAUCGAGGUAAAAGCAGAAAUGAUUAAGUUUUCUAGUGUGCUAGGGAUUUGAGCACUCAAAACUAAUAACUUUCACUAAUUUCAGCAAAGCAAGCAAUAUGUAGAUCACUAGUUUACAUGGCAUUCAACAAUCAGUUCGCAUAUUCUCAUCAAGCACCAUAUGUCAAAUAAAAUUCAGUGGGGCAACAUUUAAGACAUGGCUUAAGCAACCCAAAUAACAUUUGAUUUCAGCAUGUAUCAAUGGAUGAUAUACUCAGAAUGGGUCAUGAAACAGCUCACCGGGCACUAUGAAGUAGCACUCGCUUGAUCACUCUCUAAGCUGCAGCUCUUCUGUUUUUGCUUCUCUAUCCUCAUGCCUGCUCCAGCUUCUCUCUUCAUGUGUGCUCCUUGCUUCUCCUCAUCCCCAUGCCAUAGGUCCAUCGGGGUCCCAGGGAAUGUCAUCUCGAACUUGGUCAGCAUGUAGUGGAUCGUGCACAAGCAAGAACCUGAAAGAGCGCUCAACGAAAGAGACAAUGCAAGUGGUAGGGAUAAUACCCUCCAAGUCAUCAAUCGAAUAUCCAAUUACAUAAGCAUAGCUAUAAAGCACAUGUUUAGGAUGGUACAAAUCAGUAAGCUCAAUGCUAACAUGAGGAUGAUAUUUAUCAUUAAGAUCAAGACUAGCAUGGGAAUGAUAUGUUUCAUUAAGCAUAGAACUAGCACGAGGAAAGUAACUGUGAUCAUCACAAAUGAGAGUAAUGCCACUAACAGGGUGUGUAUGAUCAUGCCCAAGCAAAUAGUUUUUCAAAUCUACCUUAAGUGAUGGUAUCAUGCAAUGCAAGUUAGAAGCAAAGAAAUCACAAGGGAGCAUGUCAUCAAGAGGAUUGGGUAAAUCUGACACAUCACGCUCAUGUAUGACAAUAGGCCAAUGAAUCUCAGGUUCUUCAUAUUCAUCUACAGCAGCUUCUUGUACUUAUUCAGGAGUAGUAGAUGAUGAGUCUUCAACUUGAUCACUUGGGAAUUGCAGCUCUUGAUCAUCUUGUUCCUUGUCUUCUAGUUCAUCUUCUUCAAUCUGAGGUCUUUCUUCCUAUGGACUCUUGCUAUCUUGCUCAACUGGAUGUGACGGUGUUGGAACCUCACAUGUAUCAAGGGGAAUCUCGGCAACACUCAGCUCUAGCUAUGAAGAAAUAGUGCUGCCAGCGUUGAUGUUCUUCUCAAUCUUCCUUACUUCUUCCACUAGCUCUUUUCCACUUUUGAUCUUCUUCAUUUCCUCUACUAUAACCUUCCUAAUAGGAUCAUCUUUAGAACUCCAAGUGAACUCAAGACUCAAGAGUGUGAGCUUGUCUAUGUCAUCGAACUCAACUUGUGUGGGCACUUGCACAUGAGAUUGCUCUACCGACUCAUUAGGUGCUGAAGUUGUUGGUUGACCAAAUGGAGGACCAUUUAACUCCUUUGGUCACAUCUCCUGGUGCUGAGGUACAUGAGUAGAAUGUGAAUAAAAUUGUUGUGGUGCAUAGUUGUUGCUCUCCUCUUCAUACAUAAAUCCUUGCAUAUGAUUACUAGAAGCAAAUGGUGAGAUCUCAGGGUUGUUGCUCCUAUAUGACAUAUUCGGGUCUUCAGGCCACCCAUAUGAGUAAUUGUUUUGGUAUGAGCUAUGUUGUUGAGCGAAGCUCAUGCCAAAACAAUCCAGAGAAUGGGAGUAACCACGCUGACAUUCAGCGGGCAAAUGGCCCUGAAAUCCACAAAUAUGGCAGGUAGGAGCAACAUAAGGAUGGCCUCUAGAAUAAGGAUCAUAAGAGCUAGGCCUAUCCUCAAAAGCUACUUCUCGCUGCCGAGCUAAAUCAUCUAAUUGAUGGGAAAUCUUAAUUAUCAGGUCUUGAAUACUUUCUGUGUUAUUUGUAGUGUUGCUCGCAUAAGCUUGAUGAUCUAAAUAAUAAGCCAUAUCUAAGAAGAUACUAUAACCUGCAAAAAGGAAAAGCAAACAGAAAGAAACUGACUAGAACAGGGGUUAGUUGUUAGAGAUAUAUCACAAAUAUAUGGCACAAACUAGAAAAGGAAGAAAAACCUAGUCUAUAGCCUAACACGGUCACUCGACGCUAGUCCCCGGCAACAGCGCAAAAAUGAUCAAUUGUAAUAUAGCGGGGGUUUUACGCCCCAAACUACGGAUGUCGUGUUCUCCUCAGGGACUAGGCAAGUCAACGAUCGUGCUCGGAUAAAGCUAGGUAACACAAUUCAGCUUAUGAAUGCAGAAAUAAAACCUAAACUAUCAAUGAUUGUAGCCAAAGAAAAUGAAAAGAAGCAAAGGGAGGUUCAGAUUUUACUCAAUAUCUUUUUGGUAUUUUCACUAACUUGAGAAUCUAAAACACUAACACAAACGAGAAUCAAUAUUAGGGAAACCUGCUAGACAAGAACACAUAUAACUAUCAUACAUGAACAGAAUAUAUAUGACAUAUAUAGCUAGUACUCAUACAUUUUAAAUGAGAGUCACAAUGUAACAGUACAACUCUCACAACACAAACACUCACACAUAUAUAACUAGCAAUGACAGAAGGAAAGAAACGAGCUAAUAUGAUAGGGACAAAAAUAUAUCACAACACAAACAUAUAUGUUUUCACAUGAACAAAGUUAACAAAAACACUACAGAACACACAUCACAUAUGCAAACAGGGGGAGGUUACAAGACAUAAUUCUAGUACUCUGAGAUGAACAACACAUACUAUUAAUCAAGGACAAGUCUGAAACUGAACAAGUGUCAAGCACUACUCAAAUCUGAACAUUACAAAGCAUUACACAUCUCAGCUUACAGAAAAUUCAGAGAAAGAUAAUGAGGGAAACAGCAGUAGUAGGGGUUCAAAAAAGUACAGCAACGAGGUUAGGAGAAGAGGGGAAUUAGGGAGAAGGUGCAGCAGCAGUUUUGGGGUGAAGAAAGCAGCAGAGACGUGGGAAAGAAGAGGAACAUAAGCAGCGUGGGGGGCUUAGAGAAUAGCAGCAGCAGAGAUUGAGAGAGCAGCAGCAGGGACGAGGGAAGAGCAAAAGCAAGAGGUUGGGAGAGAAGGAGCAGCAGCGGCUUGGAUUGGGAAGGAAGGGCAUUAGCAAGGAGGGUUCAGAUUGUAGCAGCAGCAAGGGGGUGCAAGGAGAAGGAGCAGCAGGGGUGUUGAGAGAAAAAGAACAACAGCAGGUUCUUCAGGAAGAAGAAGAAGAAGAAAAAUAAGAGCAGCGAGGUGGAUGGAGUGGCGCAGCGGCGGCAAAGAAUGAUGGAUGAUUCUGCUGGCUGGCUGGGAGGAUGACGCUAGUGGAGAUGGACGGAGAUGGUGGUGACUUGCAACGCUGAUGGAUGGGAGAUGGAGGAGCUGCGGAGGCACACCACCACGCCUGCCUGGCUGUGGCAGCGGCUGGAGGAGGAGAAGGAGGGAUGAGGGAGAUGGAGGUGUAGCCAGGCCCGAUCGGAUCCCUCCGGCGCCUAGGGAUUUUGUUCCCCUCCUCUCAUCUGCACUUUGUGAUUUGGCCCUCUUUCUUCUCUUCUUUCUUCACAAGAAGGUCCUCCCACUUCUUUAUCUAGCCCCU
rnacentral:lncRNA from 1 species